rnacentral:lncRNA from 1 species
UAAACACUACUUAUCCUUUACGAGGAAGAGAUCGAGACGAAGCUCUUUGUGUUCCAUCGCCGGUUCUUUUCGGCGAUUCCGACUCCGGUAUACGUCGGUCUGUCUGACGAGUAUAACCGGCUCUGACUCUGGUGGCUCGCGGUUUUCACGACGGAGCUAUCCGGCUUUUGGUUUCGCGUCGCGCUCUUCUCUAUGGCGACGACGGAUUCUCACUAGGUUUUUUCCGGUUUCGUUGAUCGACGUUUCCCGUUCCUAUCUGUUCAAUCGCCUCUCUUUCCUUAGCAUCGAUUCCUCUCUUCCUCUCCUCCUCGCGAGCCGUUUCAUCUUCGGGCUUCUUCUUAUCAUUAAAGAUGACCGAAUCUCAAGUAGGAAGAUCGAUGGUGGUGGGAUCGAUUGUAGGCGAUCCGGUGUGUGACUUGAUCGCCGUGAAGAUUGUUCCUUUGUGUGCGGUUCUUCAUCGGCUUAGUUCUGUUGACGACGGAGUUCCGUCGAGUCUCCUCCUCUAUCGUCGGUGGAAGGUAGCUAGUCCUCUCCUUGACGCGUAUCUCAAGACGCAGGACGCCGUUACACGUGGUGGAAUGAGUAAGCGUCUUCUUCAACGGGAUUUAGGCCCGUGUUGUUUGUUUUCUUUUAUCCCGUUGGAUGGGCAUCAUGUCUUGUAGUGUUGGGCUUUGUCCAGUUGGACCUUGACCCGUUAUUAAAAUUCCAGAGGAAAAAAAAGUAAUUAAACACUACUUCCUCUUUUUUUUCUCUCUCAAAUACGAGUGAUUAAACAAUUUCCUAUAGUUCUAAAUUAAUACAUUUUCAAAAUUUAAAUAUUGUCAAUCAAUAAUCUUUGAUAUCUAAAAUUUGUUACUAUUGACUAAUAUAAAUCAUUUAAAAUAUUUCAUCAACUAAUGUUGGAAAAGUCUUUACCUUAAAUUCUUUUUAGUAAACAAAUCAUAUUAUUUUUUUCAAAAGUAUUAAUUUAAAAUAAUAAUGUACUAAAAUCAAAACAAUAAUAAUAAAAAACAUAAUUAUAUUUUUUCUGGGAUUAUCAUUUGUGAUUGAUAUUUACAUAAAAUACUCAUUGUAUAUUUGUAUGUAUAACCUAUAACUAUUAUUAUUAUUUAAGCAUACAAGUUCUUAAACAUACAAUCCUAAUAAACGACAAAAAUAUACAACCAAAAUAAUAAAUAAAUUUACUUAUUGUAACUUAUUUGAGUAAGUUUAAGAAAAUUGAAUAACUUUAUAUGGCUACCAUUUUAUCAUAGUUUGAUAUCACUAAAAUGUAUCUGCGUGAACUCUUAUUUUCUCCAUAUCAUCAUCCAACAUGAGUCCGCGAAAUAUAUUUUGAUCUAUUCUAAUUUUUUUAGGAUAAUAUAUUAAAUUCCUAAGAAAUCAAAAUUAUUCAAUACAUUUUGUUUAUUCAAAUUAAAACCAAAAAAAAAUUUAAUAUAUUUAGAUUCAAUCAUAUUGUUUAGCUGCAAAAAGAUCAUACCAUAUAGGUUGCUCAAAUACAAUGUUUAUUCUAUAUUUACUUUUUCAUACAGAUUAACUACAUAAUGGAUUAAGCCUCAUUCCAACAUACUCUAUUUUGUAUUGAAAAUAUAAAACUACUGCUCUAUCAAAUUUACAGAAAUAAGUAUGGAAAAAGAAGUGCGGACUAUUUGCUAACUUGUGAAGUAACUCCGAGAUAGUGAAAAGAAAAAAAAAUGGAAGAAAACACUCGAGUGUUUAGUUGUUGGGUUAACUACUUGAAUGGUUUGCAAAAAUACCAAUUACCAAAUGUCAAAGCGGCUCGUCAACGUGUUUUCUGCUUGUUUUGUUUAAUUAAAUUGUGUGACCUCAGUUUGUGCUAAUGUCGUCACUUCUCUUCUUCGUUUUAUAAAAGCUAUAUCCAUCGAAACCUUCCAAAGUAUUGAGCCAACUUUGUCCUGAAAAAAUAACACCCUCUUUCCACGAGCCAUCUGUAAAACACCAUCUUCCUGGGAUCGACGGCAAUACCGUAUCUAUUAUUGGUGGUGGCGUCCUCUGGUCAUUCACUACUUGUGCACUACUUGUGCCUCAGCCCACAAUGUUGAUUCUGUUUCAGCCAAUUUAAGCGUAUCCGUAGGGUCCAUAUCUAAAUUACUGAAAACUUUAUUAUUCUUAGCUUUCCAGAUGUACCAUAGUAUCCAUGCAAACUGGUGAUCCUCAAUCUGCGGGAAAAUUCUCCAGAAUAGAUGAUCUAUGUUUGUGAAGAGGGAACUUGUUGGAAAAAUAGCUGGAUUUGAUGGUAUCUUUGAAAGAGCCCAAACCUGAAGAGCUCGAGGACAUUAAAAAAACACAUGAUUUAUCGAUUCCUCAGGAGCUCCACAUCUUACACAACAGAUAUUCCCUUGAAUCCCCCUUGCUUGUAAAUUCUUCCGCACCGCUAUACACCCUGUCACUAAUUUCCAUAGGAAAUUUUUUAGCUUUGGUGGGCAUCGUAUUUUCCAGCAGUAAGCCUUCAAGACAUCAACUGUGGGACCAAUCAGUAAUGGUGGUCUUUCUCUAUCUGGAUAAAUCAGUUCUACUUAAUAUCCUGAUUUGACCGUAUAUUUUCCAUUUUUUGUAAAGUGUCAUCCAUCUCUAUCCACCCCGCUGAGUCCUGCUUAGUGGAAUACUUUCUAUAAAUUUCACAUCCUGAAGAUCCACCAAAGCCUGAAUUGCCUCUGAAUUCCAAGUUCGCCAGGUAGAGUCAACGAGGGACUCUACUGUGUUACGUAUAUAAAGAUCGAAACCCUCAAGAACCAAAAUGACCUUAGGACCAAAAUAAAAACCGUAUACUUUAUGAAGUUUAAUCUCCAAAUUCCAUAAAACUUUAACCAUAAAACAUUUGAAGCUGUUAAAUUAUAAUACAGACCCAAGCUUUCUCCUGCAUCAUAUGUCUCACGUGGAAAUUUAAAAAACGUGACCUUAGUUACAAUAAUAUGCACCAAUAAUUUAAUCCUAAAUCUGGCCAUCAUAUGAACCAAAAAGUACCAAGCUCCAUUGCUGCGGCAGAUUAGUAACCCCCCUUGGAAGAUUUGAAGACCAUGACUUAUUCCUGGUAAUACCAAUCUUGACCUCAAGGCUCCGAACCUGUUGCUGCUUCAGAAAAGAGCAUUGGACUCCUGAGCCAAUAAAAGUGUAUUGUUCCUCCCCCCACCUUCGUACUUGUUGGUACUUUAGAUCAAUGAGCCCUAUCUCAAUUGGCCUAUACAUCGAACCUUUGUCUGUAUUUGGUUUGAUGAGACCAAACACAUAAACUCCAUAAUUCUGAGAUUUCGUCUUGAUGAUGAUUGACAUCCAUAUCCAAUCAGAAUAUCCUAGUAAUUUCCCAGAUCUUCCCAUUCUAAUCUUCCUUUUUGGCAAGAUCUGUCGAGAAUCCGAAAUAGCCUUUCUUGCUAAAACUCCAUGUCUCUCUCUGAUCUAAAAGUACUAUAAAUAUAAAAUAAGAGUUUAAAACAAGGCAGUGACUUUGUCACACAAAAAAAAACAAGGUAGUGGCUUUCGGUUUUGGGGUUUUGAACGUUAAUUAUCAAACAACAUGACAAUCGACUGACAUCUAACAUCUAACAUCUAACAUCUUGCCACAUACAAGGGCACGUAGAGUUUAUUUUAUUUUACCCAUCGAUGUAAAAGUAUAUUGACUUACUGCUACAAGUUUUUUAUUGGUUGAGAAGUACAGAUGAGUGGAACGUUGCCGUGGCCGUGACUCAACCGGCGACAGUCGGUCAAACCGGAGCUUUUGCCUCUUUGACUUCUGCUUACAUGUCAGUUCACUUUCGAUACCACAGUUUAAGAUUUUUUUCUAUAAGAUAAAAUUUAAAUAGGAUUGAAUAAACUAAGGAGGUUGCUAGUGGGACUCAGAUUCGAUAGAUUCGAUAGAGUUAAUUGGUUUUAAAAGUUGAGAGAUUUGUUAAAUUGAAAAUAGUCGUAGAAAAUUUUGUAUAUUGUGAAAAUUUAUGAAAAUAAAAUAAUGUAAUGAUUCUAAGAAUUCAAAGGAAACAUAUAGUAUUCUCAAAAUUUUGAUUUGUGAGUUAAAAUGUUAAGAAUUCAACUUUCAAUAACACUUACUUUACUAGAUUUGUAGAAUCAUUAAAAUCAAAUUUUUUUGAAUAAUAAAUGAUUUUAUAUAUAAUUAUAGAAUCAUCAGACCAAUAACACUAGAUUUUAGUGAAUAUGUGAAAAUCUAUAAACCAAUAACACUAAACUUAAAAAUUAUAAAACUCAUUAUAAAUCAAAUUCCCACUAACACCUCUGAGAAAUAAGAUGAUAUAGGUCAAAAGAAAAAAGCAAAACCUCGAGAAAUCUGAUUUAUAAAAGAAAAGCAUUUACAAUAUAAAAAUAAAAACAAAAGAGAGAAGAUUUGUGAUGAAGUAAAUUAGGAAGCAAAAGAAAAAUGGUAAAAUUAUAAAUAUAAAUAUUCGGCGGGAGACCGUUGAUUGCGGUUGGGAAUAAAGCCAUUUGACAAGGAGGCUUGUCCGUUUUGACCCCAUUUCUUUCUUGUUUUUUCUUUUUCUUGUAAAUACGUAUAAACACUACUUAUCCUUUACGAGGAAGAGAUCGAGACGAAGCUCUUUGUGUUCCAUCGCCGGUUCUUUUCGGCGAUUCCGACUCCGGUAUACGUCGGUCUGUCUGACGAGUAUAACCGGCUCUGACUCUGGUGGCUCGCGGUUUUCACGACGGAGCUAUCCGGCUUUUGGUUUCGCGUCGCGCUCUUCUCUAUGGCGACGACGGAUUCUCACUAGGUUUUUUCCGGUUUCGUUGAUCGACGUUUCCCGUUCCUAUCUGUUCAAUCGCCUCUCUUUCCUUAGCAUCGAUUCCUCUCUUCCUCUCCUCCUCGCGAGCCGUUUCAUCUUCGGGCUUCUUCUUAUCAUUAAAGAUGACCGAAUCUCAAGUAGGAAGAUCGAUGGUGGUGGGAUCGAUUGUAGGCGAUCCGGUGUGUGACUUGAUCGCCGUGAAGAUUGUUCCUUUGUGUGCGGUUCUUCAUCGGCUUAGUUCUGUUGACGACGGAGUUCCGUCGAGUCUCCUCCUCUAUCGUCGGUGGAAGGUAGCUAGUCCUCUCCUUGACGCGUAUCUCAAGACGCAGGACGCCGUUACACGUGGUGGAAUGAGUAAGCGUCUUCUUCAACGGGAUUUAGGCCCGUGUUGUUUGUUUUCUUUUAUCCCGUUGGAUGGGCAUCAUGUCUUGUAGUGUUGGGCUUUGUCCAGUUGGACCUUGACCCGUUAUUAAAAUUCCAGAGGAAAAAAAAGUAAUUAAACACUACUUCCUCUUUUUUUUCUCUCUCAAAUACGAGUGAUUAAACAAUUUCCUAUAGUUCUAAAUUAAUACAUUUUCAAAAUUUAAA